UACGUAGGGUCCGAGCGUUGUCCGGAAUUAUUGGGCGUAAAGAGCUCGUAGGCGGUUUGUCGCGUCGAAUGUGAAAACCCGGGGCUCAACCCCGGGCCUGCAUUCGAUACGGGCAGACUAGAGUUCGGUAGGGGAGUCUGGAAUUCCUGGUGUAGCGGUGAAAUGCGCAGAUAUCAGGAGGAACACCGGUGGCGAAGGCGGGACUCUGGGCCGAUACUGACGCUGAGGAGCGAAAGCGUGGGGAGCAAACAGG
rnacentral:rRNA from 1 species